CACUGAAUACUGCAGGACUGGAAUAUGGAUGACCGCUUUGCGGAAAUAAUGUGGUGUAGCGGUGAAAUACAUAGAUAUCACACACAGCACCCGAUAGUGAAGGCAGCAGACGAGUCUCCUAUUGACGCUGAGGCACGAAAAGAGUGGGGAUCUAACACGAUAAGAUAUCCCGGUAGUCCACACAGUAUAAGAUGAUGACUCUCUGUCUGCGAUAUACAGUCGGUGGUCACGAGAGAUAGAUAUAUCAUCUCCCCGUGGAGUAUGACCGCACAGUUGAAAAUCAAAAGAAUUGACGGGGGCCCGCACACGCGGAGGAGCAUGUGGUUUAAUUUGAUGAUACGCGAGGAACCCUACCCGGGCUCGAACGGGUGGUGAGAGACAUUGAGAUAUGAGGGUCCUUUGGGACUCCAGUCGAGGUGCUGCAUGGUUGUCGUCAGCUCGUGCUGUGAGGUGUCGGCUUAAGUGCCAUAACGAGCGCAACCCUUGCCGAUAGUUACCAUCAGGUAAUGCUGGGGACUCUAUCAGGACUGCCGCCGUAAGGUGAGAGGAAGGGGGGGAUGACGUCAAAUCAGCACGGCCCUUACGUCCGGGGCGACACACGUGUUACAAUGGCAGGUACAGAGGGCGGCCAGGCAGCGACGCCGCGCAAAUCUCGAAAACCCGUCUCAGUUCGGAUUGGAGUCUGCAACUCGACUCCAUGAAGUUGGAUUCGCUAGUAAUCGCGCAUCAGCCAUGGCGCGCUGAAUACGUUCCCGGGCCUUGUACACAC
rnacentral:rRNA from 1 species